GCCAGUGUGGUAUAGUGGUUUGAGCACUAGACCUCAACUCUGGAGACCAUGGUUUGAAUCCCUUCUCAGCCA